GCCCGUGUGAUACGCCUGCUUUGGAACUGGAACUCCACAAGCUUAAUGGCGUGGUAAUGUUGCGAGGCAUCAAAGGAGUAGUGAUGAGGAGUUCAGCAAAUACGUUUGCAGACAUGACGAACAUACCAGAAUACUAUGCAGGGAAAAAUGUGCUGAUCACUGGAGCAACUGGCUUCAUGGGAAAGGUAAUGUUGGAGAAGCUGCUAAGGUCAUGCCCAGGAGUUAAUGCUGUCUAUGUGAUGGUCAGGUCAAAAGCUGGCCAGAGUCCUCAGGCCCGUAUUAGUGACAUGAUCAGCAGCAAGUUGUUCGAUAGGUUACAGGAUGAACAGCCAUGCUUUGCAGAGAAGAUCAUUCCAGUGAGCAGUGACCUCACAAAGCCAGAACUGGAUCUGAGUAAGGGGAAUCUGAGUUUACUAGCUGAAACCAUCAACAUUGUCUUCCAUUGUGCCGCCACCAUCCGCUUCAAUGAGCCAUUGAAAGAUGCAAUGCAGUUGAAUGUCUUGGCCACCCAGAAGAUGCUCGCUCUGGCUCAUAAGAUGAAGCAUCUAGAAAUCUUCAUCCAUGUAUCCACAGCCUAUGCCAACUGUGAUCGAGAGCUCAUUGAGGAAAUGGUUUAUCCUCCCCCAGUGGAGUACGUCAAACUCAUUGAUGCACUGGAUUGGAUGGACGAUGAACUGGUGUCUGCACUUACUCCCAAACUGAUUGGUCAGCGACCCAACACUUAUACCUACACAAAAGCAUUAGCUGAGUAUCUGGUGCAGCAGGAGGCUGCGGACCUCAAUGUUGCUAUUGUCAGACCCUCCAUAGUUGGUGCCAGCUGGAAAGAACCUUUUCCUGGUUGGAUUGAUAAUUUCAAUGGACCUAGUGGAAUAUUCAUUGCAGCAGGUAAAGGGAUCCUACGUACAAUGAGAGCAUCUAAUGACGCAGUAGCUGACUUGGUACCUGUAGAUGUAGUCAUCAAUGCCACACUGGCUGCAGCCUGGUACUCUGGAUCACAAAAAAAGAACAGGCCCAAAUCCAUUCUGGUUUACAACUGCACAACUGGUGGCAUCAACCCAUUUCGCUGGGGCGAAGUUGAAUACCAUGUAAUAUCUACUUUCAAGAGGAACCCUCUCGAGCAGGCUUUCCGUCGGCCCAAUGUUAAUCUCACAUCCAAUCACCUAAUCAAUCAGUACUGGAUCGCUGUGAGCCACAAGGCUCCAGCCUUCUUGUAUGAUGUGUACCUCAGGCUGAUUGGACGAGAACCCAGAGAACUGUAUAAACAUGACCUUCAAGACCAAUCCUUUAGAUCAGGCCUUCAGAAGGCCCAAUGUCAAUCUCCGCUCCAACCCCUUUACUAAUCAGUACUGGACAAUUGUCAGCCACACCCUGCCAGCUCUCCUCUAUGACUUCUAUCUCAGGCUGAAAGGCCAAAAGCCUCGGAUGAUGAAGACAAUCACUCGCCUUCAUAAAGCCAUGAUGGUGCUGGAAUAUUUUACUAGUCACUCCUGGGUAUGGAGCACAGACAACGUAGCCAUGUUGAUGGCCCACAUGAGC